rnacentral:lncRNA from 1 species
UUUUGAGCCGUUAGAUUCCGCCACCCUUCUUCCCGAUAUUGUAUUAGAUCGGGAUGAGGAGCUGAGACUAUGGGUCGCGUCUCAGGAUCCCCCUACUAGCAGUACCGACAGAUAUCGAGUGUUAGGUCUGCCGAGGAUACCCGCAUAUACACUUCCUGGAGGUAAUAUUUUUUUAUGUUUCACGAAAUUAUUCGAAUUUAUCACAUUAUAUAAAUUAUUAUUAGUAAUCGAAUUUGUAUCUCUUUAUAGGCUCCAGCCAGCACCAACGUCCGAGAGCACAUGUCGGACCAUCUCAUACGGGCACUAGCUUGGAUGACAAUAUCUUCCAGCGGCUGAUAGGGGUCGUGUCGGAUAGGUUCUGUACCGAUCCGGUCUUUUGGCGUCAGCAGUUGCCUUCCAGUUCUCGUCUUCACCAGAUUGCUCAGGAUAUUAUAGCAGGGGCCUUUGUAGAGAGUACGGGAUUACCACGGGAGCAGUUCGACGCUUGGAGCGCCGAGAUGCUCCGGAUGGUGAUUACUCUCUUGGAGGAGGCUUUUCAUCUGCCCCCACCUACUCAGGUAUUCUUAUUGUUUAUGUUUUUUUCAAUUAAGGCUAGCUUGUUAAUUCUACAUAUAUAUAUAUAUAUAUAUAUAUAUAUAUAUAUAUAUACAGACUAAUGAUUUAUAUUUUUAAUUCUAUCAAUAGGGUGGCAAUGGCGAGCAGGCUGACGAUGAUGAGCAGGAGCACGACGCUGAUUCCAUACACCAGAGCAGCGUCGUUCACCUCCGCCCGAUGAUGAUACUUUUACUAGUUUAUAGUUCAUUCGUAUUCAUGUUAUUGUAGAACUUUUGUAUAUAUUGUAUUGUGUAAUUGCGUCUGUACAAGUAUUGUAAAUUAUAUUGUUUAUCAUUUAUGGAACAUUAGCUUAUAUUUGUAAUUGGUUAGUUUAUA